rnacentral:rRNA from 1 species
UACGUAGGGUGCAAGCGUUAAUCGGAAUUACUGGGCGUAAAGCGUGCGUAGGCGGUUCGUUAAGUUCGUUGUGAAAGCCCCGGGCUCAACCUGGGAACUGCAAUGGAAACUGGCGGGCUUGAGUGUGGCAGAGGGGGGUGGAAUUCCGCGUGUAGCAGUGAAAUGCGUAGAGAUGCGGAGGAGCACCGAUGGCGAAGGCAGCCCCCUGGGCCAACACUGACGCUCAGGCACGAAAGCGUGGGGAGCAAACAGG